AAAAGAGAAGAUUAGAAUGUCCUUUUGCUUCUGCUGUUUAUCAAGUGCCUUUAUAUGAAAAAAAUCCUUAUAUCAAAGAGAAUCCUAAGCCACCUUAAGGCAAAGGAAUGACUUCCAUGGAAUACAGAUGAAGUUGGUAAAAAGAAAUACAAAGGAGAAAAAGUACAUUUGUUCUGUUCUAUGACUAUUACUCUGAUACACUGGUAAUGCUAUGAUGAUGGAAGGAACAAAUAAAUGUCUCAG
rnacentral:lncRNA from 1 species